rnacentral:rRNA from 1 species
AUGAACGCUAGCGGCAGGCCUAACACCUGCAAGUCGAGGGAGAGGUUACCUUCGGGUAACCAAAACCGGCGCACGGGUGCGUAACGCGUAUACAAUCUGCCUUUCACAUAGGGAUAGCCCGAAGAAAUUUGGAUUAAUACCUAAUGGUAUAUAAGAGCGGCAUCGUUUUUAUAUUAAAGCUACGGUGGUGAAAGAUGAGUAUGCGUUCUAUUAGCUAGUUGGAGAGGUAACGGCUCCCCAAGGCGACGAUAGAUAGGGGUUCUGAGAGGGAUGUCCCCCACACUUGUACUGAGAUACAGACCAGACUCCUACGGGAGGCAGCAGUGAGGAAUAUUGGACAAUGGUCGGAAGACUGAUCCAGCCAUGCCGCGUGCAGGAUGAAGGUCAUAUGGAUUGUAAACUGCUUUUGUAAGGGAAGAAUAAGGAGUACGUGUACUUUGAUGACGGUACCUUACGAAUAAGCAUCGGCUAACUCCGUG